CACGUAGGGCGCAAGCGUUGUCCGGAAUUAUUGUGCGUAAAGAGCUCGUAGGCGGUCUGUUGCGUCCGCUGUGAAAACCCGGGGCUUAACCCCUGGCUUGCAGUGGAUACGGACAGACUAGAGGUAGGUAGGGGAGAAUGGAAUUCCCGGUGUAGCGGUGAAAUGCGCAGAUAUCGGGAGGAACACCGGUGGCGAAGGCGGCUCACUGGACUGGUACUGACGCUGAGGCGCGAAAGCGUGGGGAGCAAACGGG
rnacentral:rRNA from 1 species